UACGUAGGGGGCUAGCGUUGUCCGGAAUCAUUGGGCGUAAAGCGCGUGUAGGCGGCCCGGUAAGUCCGCUGUGAAAGUCAAAGGCUCAACCUUUGAAAGCCGGUGGAUACUGUGGGGCUAGAGUCCGGAAGAGGCGAGUGGAAUUCCUGGUGUAGCGGUGGAAUGCGCAGAUAUCAGGAGGAACACCAAUAGCGAAGGCAGCUCGCUGGGACGGUACUGACGCUAAGGCGCGAAAGCGUGGGGAGCGAACAGG
rnacentral:rRNA from 1 species